GAUGAACGCUGGCGGCGUACCUAAUACAUGCAAGUCGAGCGAAUGGAUUGAGAGCUUGCUCUUAUGAAGUUAGCGGCGGACGGGUGAGUAACACGUGGGUAACCUGCCCAUAAGACUGGGAUAACUCCGGGAAACCGGGGCUAAUACCGGAUAACAUUUUGAACCGCAUGGUUCGAAAUUGAAAGGCGGCUUCGGCUGUCACUUAUGGAUGGACCCGCGUCGCAUUAGCUAGUUGGUGAGGUAACGGCUCACCAAGGCAACGAUGCGUAGCCGACCUGGGAGGGUGAUCGGCCAGACUGGGACUGAGACACGGCCCAGACUCCUACGGGAGGCAGCAGUAGGGAAUCUUCCGCAAUGGACGAAAGUCUGACGGAGCAACGCCGCGUGAGUGAUGAAGGCUUUCGGGUCGUAAAUCUCUGUUGUUAGGGAAGAACAAGUGCUAGUUGAAUAAGCUGGCACCUUGACGGUACCUAACCAGAAAGCCACGGCUAACUACGUGCCAGCCGCCGCCGUAA
rnacentral:rRNA from 1 species